AACGCGAAGAACCUUACCUACUCUUGACAUCCUUGGAAUCUUCUAGAGAUAGAAGAGUGCCUUCGGGAGCCAAGUGACAGGUGCUGCAUGGCUGUCGUCAGCUCGUGUCGUGAGAUGUUGGGUUAAGUCCCGUAACGAGCGCAACCCUCGCCCUUAGUUGCCAGCGGUCCGGCCGGGAACUCUAAGGGGACUGCCGGUGAUAAACCGGAGGAAGGUGGGGAUGAUGUCAAGUCAUCAUGGCCCUUACGAGUAGGGCUACACACGUGCUACAAUGGCCAGUACAAUGGGUUGCCAAACCGUGAGGUGGAGCUAAUCCCAUAAAGCUGGUCGUAGUCCAGAUUGGAGUCUGCAACUCGACUCCAUGAAGUUGGAAUCGCUAGUAAUCGCGAAUCAGAAUGUCGCGGUGAAUACGUUCCCGGGCCUUGUACACACCGCAUAC
rnacentral:rRNA from 1 species